GAUGAACGCUGGCGGCGUGCCUAAUACAUGCAAGUCGAGCGAACAGAUGAGGAGCUUGCUCCUCUGACGUUAGCGGCGGACGGGUGAGUAACACGUGGAUAACCUACCUAUAAGACUGGGAUAACUUCGGGAAACCGGAGCUAAUACCGGAUAAUAUAUUGAACCGCAUGGUUCAAUAGUGAAAGACGGUUUUGCUGUCACUUAUAGAUGGAUCCGCGCCGCAUUAGCUAGUUGGUAAGGUAACGGCUUACCAAGGCAACGAUGCGUAGCCGACCUGAGAGGGUGAUCGGCCACACUGGAACUGAGACACGGACCAGACUCCUACGGGAGGCAGCAGUAGGGAAUCUUCCGCAAUGGGCGAAAGCCUGACGGAGCAACGCCGCGUGAGUGAUGAAGGUGUUCGGAUCGUAAAACUCUGUUAUUAGGGAAGAACAAAUGUGUAAGUAACUAUGCACGUCUUGACGGUACCUAAUCAGAAAGCCACGGCUAACUACGUG
rnacentral:rRNA from 1 species